UUGAAAGGGAAACGAUUGAAGUCAGUCGCACCUAUGGGUAAUCAGCCCUUUGGGUGUGAUUUUGUGGAGCGUGAGGAGUUAAACGCCUUCAUGCCUGCAUAUUCGUGCACUUUGGGUGUACUUGCCCGUGUGUAAGUUAACAUCAAUUUUGAUGGUCAUAAAAUGGCUAGAGGAAUGUAGCUUCGAUCUUGUAUUGAAGUGUUAUAGCCUUCGGUAGAUGUGACGAUCGGGAUUGAGGAUUGCAACGGAUACCCUUCGGGGCUACCUGUCUGAUCUCUGAUUGUUGCUCUGGUACCGAAAGCUUGCUUACGGUUAUCAAAGUCGAUGGUCAAUAGGUUAGAACGGGUUAAAUUCGUUAAGGAUGUUGACGUA
rnacentral:rRNA from 1 species